UUGAGAAUUGCAUUAGUGAGUCGAAAAUGUUUUGUGUAGUUACUUGAAAGGUGGGCUUGUGUUUUGAAUAUAGUGACUCAAAAAUGUUUUAAGUUUAGGUAGUUGAAAUGUGAACUUGUCAAUUGAAUUUGCUAAAGUGUGGUUACUUGAGUAGUGAAUUAGUGACUCGAAAAUGUUAAAGUUUAGGUUCUUUAAAUGUGAACUUGUCAAUUGAAUUUACUAAAUUUGGUUACUUGAGUAGUGAACUAGCGACUUGAAAAUAUUUUAAGUUUAGGUAGUUGAAAUGUGAACUUGUCAAUUGAAUUUGCUGAAGUGUGGUUACUUGAGUAGUAGUGAAUUAGUGACUCGAAAAUGUUUUAGUUUAGGUUCUUGAAAUGUGAACUUGUCAAUUGAAUUUACUAAAUUUGGUUACUUGAGUAGUGAACUAGUGACUCGAAAAUGUUUUAAGUUUAGAUAGUUGAAAUGAUGUUACCUUAUCAUAAAAAAAGUUUAGGUAGUUGAAAUGUGAACUUGCCAAUUGAAUUUGCUGAAGUGUGGUUUAGUGUGGUCACUUGAAAAGUGCAUUAGUGAGUCGAAAAUGAUUAAUUAAAUGUAGUUACUUGGAAGGUGGAUUUGUGUUUUGAAUAUAGUUAAGUGUGGUCACUUGAGAAGUGAGUUAGUGACUUGAAAAUGUGUAAGGGUAGGUAUUUGAAAUGUGAACUUUUCAUUUUGAAUUUAGUUUAGUUUGGUAACUUGUGAAGUGACUUAGUGACUUGAAAAUGUUUAGGUGUAGGUACUUGAAAUGUGAACUUUUCAUUUUGAAUUAAGUUUCGUUUGCUAAUUUGUGAAGUGAAUUAGUGACUUGAAAAUGUUUAGGUGUUAGGUACUUGAAAUGUGAACUUUUCAUUUCGAAUUUAGUUUAGUUAGAUAACUUGUGAAGUGACUUGAAAUGUUUAAGUGUAGUUACUUGAAUUAUGGUUAGUGACUUUUGUUUUGAAUUUAGGUACUUGAAAUGUGAACUUGCGUUUUGAUUUUGGUGAAGUGUGGUCCCUUGAGAAGUGAAUUAGUGACUUCAAAAUGUUUUAAGUAUGGAACCUGAUUAUAGUUGGAUAUAUCAACGAGAUAUUGAUAAUAGAAUGGGUGAUGUUGAGAAUGAAGAUGCGGAUGAUGAGUUGUAGUUUUUAGUAUUUUGUAUGUUUUAUAGUUUGGAUUUGGAAUCUCGAUAAAUUUUGUAAAUAAUGUUUGUAUUCUUAUGGUGGUUGGUUGAUUGUAUAUUAAAUGAUUAGUGGGAUGUAGUGUAGAUAAUAAUCAAUGUCUGUAAAUGAUUAGUGGGCUAUUUUGUAAAUAAUUUGAUUUUUAAUUUUUGUAUUUUGAAAA